CCCAGUUUCGAGGAUGGAGUGAAGGAGCCAUUGUCUGGCGUUGGACAUCUUCCAGAGAGAAACAGACCUGUCCCGCUCUCCGUGAUGCUCCGGGCUGGACAGACCACAGGCUGUGUAGUAACAAGGGAAAGGGACUGUUAGAUGACCCAUGGCUGUGUGGGAGACGGCCCCAUCGAGGACACUGUAUUUCUUUAAUCAGCGGCCACGACGUGAGCGGCCAGGCUGUCUUUUGAAGUGGACACCACAGGAAGCCACUCCUCACAGCAGGGCCAGCCCAGGGCUGACAGCAUCAGUGGAAUCUCCCAGGGCCAGUGUACCGGUUUGUUUAAAGAAGAAAGUCAUUUCAGGGUGCGGAGCUGACGCUGCGGAGGACAGCCCCGUGAAGUCGGAGAAAGUAUCUUGAUGCCAAGGUGUGCUGUCCAGAUCACAAAGCCCAAACAGAAAGUUCCAAAACACAGUGACUCCUCACCCUGGCAACCUUCUCCGAGCUCCUCCUCGGUCACGGCACGGUCUGUGCUUGGCUCUCCCAGAAGACGCCGAUCGUCUACCAUGCUGGACCUCCGUGGAAGCUUGUGGCCGUUUCCCGUGUACAUCUCCUCCAAACAGCACAUCAAAGUGUCUUCUCCCGUCUUAAGAAGGCAGCAGAGUCCUCUGCGACCUGACAAGCCCCGUGGAAACCUGAGCUCCGCCGCAGGAGGUCUGAGCUUGGUUCACACUGGGCUAGGAAGGUGGUAAGCCAGCCAGAGGGCGGAGGCAUACGCUUGACUAAGGAUGUCAUCCUUACACAGUAAUGGCCAUGACCUCUGGGACAGGCUGCUCACAGAGCAUGCUAAGGGUCCCGAAGAAUGUUUGGGGGCACAACUGAUGGUUCACACUCACAUUAGGGGAAGCAGAAACUUGCACCAGAUUAUUAUUAUUAUUA